rnacentral:rRNA from 1 species
UACAGAGGUGGCAAGCGUUGUUCGGAAUUACUGGGCGUAAAGGGCGCGUAGGCGGCCAUCUAAGUCAGACGUGAAAUCCCCCGGCUUAACCUGGGAACUGCGUCUGAUACUGGACGGCUUGAGUAUGGGAGAGGGAUGUAGAAUUCCAGGUGUAGCGGUGAAAUGCGUAGAUAUCUGGAGGAAUACCGGUGGCGAAGGCGGCAUCCUGGACCAUUACUGACGCUGAGGCGCGAAAGCUAGGGGAGCAAACGGGAUUAGAAACCCUGUAGUCC